rnacentral:rRNA from 1 species
GGGUUGUGAGGUUAAGCGACUAAGCGUACACGGUGGAUGCCCUGGCAGUCAGAGGCGAUGAAGGACGUGCUAAUCUGCGAUAAGCGUCGGUAAGGUGAUAUGAACCGUUAUAACCGGCGAUUUCCGAAUGGGGAAACCCAGUGUGAUUCGUCACACUAUCAUUAACUGAAUCCAUAGGUUAAUGAGGCGAACCGGGGGAACUGAAACAUCUAAGUACCCCGAGGAAAAGAAAUCAACCGAGAUUCCCCCAGUAGCGGCGAGCGAACGGGGAGCAGCCCAGAGCCUGAAUCAGUGUGUGUGUUAGUGGAAGCGUCUGGAAAGGCGCGCGAUACAGGGUGACAGCCCCGUACACAAAAAUGCACAUAUUGUGAGCUCGAUGAGUAGGGCGGGACACGUGGUAUCCUGUCUGAAUAUGGGGGGCCCAUCCUCCAAGGCUAAAUACUCCUGACUGACCGAUAGUGAACCAGUACCGUGAGGGAAAGGCGAAAAGAACCCCGG